rnacentral:tRNA from 1 species
GGGGAUGUAGACUAUGGGUUAGGUCAUAGCCCUUUCAAGGCUAAGGAUAAGGUUCAAGUCCUUACUUCCCUAC